rnacentral:rRNA from 1 species
GGUGAACGCUAGCGGUGCGCCUAACACAUGCAAGUCGAGCGAGAAAGUCAGUGCUUGCACUGACCAGACAGCGGCGAACGGGUGAGUAACAUGUUGGAAUCUGCCCCCAAGUCAGGGAUAGCCAGAAGAAAUUCUGAUUAAUACCGGAUAGUCUCUACGGAGUAAAAAUUUAUUGCUUGGGGAGGAGCCUACAGUCUAUCAGCUAGUUGGUAAGGUAAAAGCUUACCAAGGCAAUGACGGAUAGUUGGUCUGAGAGGAUGAUCAGCCACAAUGGAACUGAGACACGGUCCAUACUCCUACGGGAGGCAGCAGUGAGGAAUCUUCCACAAUGGACGAAAGUCUGAUGGAGCGACACCGCGUGGAGGAUGAAGGUCUAACGACUGUAAACUCCUUUUCUGAAGGAGCAUAAUGAGAGUACUUCAGGAAUAAGGGACGGCUAAUUAUG